GACGAACGCUGGCGGCGUGCCUAACACAUGCAAGUCGAGCGGAGAUACAAAGUAGUUUACUAUGAUGUAUCUUAGCGGCGGACGGGUGAGUAACGCGUGGGCAACCUGCCUUACAGAGGGGGAUAACAGUGCGAAAGUACUGCUAAUACCGCAUGAUAUUGUUAAAUCGCAUGGUUUGACAAUCAAAGGAGAAAUCCGCUGUAAGAUGGGCCCGCGUCUGAUUAGCUAGUUGGUGAGGUAAAGGCUUACCAAGGCGACGAUCAGUAGCCGAUCUGAGAGGAUGAACGGCCACACUGGAACUGAGACACGGUCCAGACUCCUACGGGAGGCAGCAGUGGGGAAUAUUGCACAAUGGGGGAAACCCUGAUGCAGCAACGCCGCGUGGAGGAUGAAGGUCUUCGGAUUGUAAACUCCUUUGAUGAGGGACGAAUAAAUGACGGUACCUCAAAAACAAGCCACGGCUAACUACGUGCCAGCAGCCGCAGUAAAAC
rnacentral:rRNA from 1 species